rnacentral:rRNA from 1 species
ACAUCCAGAGAACUUAGCAGAGAUGCUUUGGUGCCUUCGGGAACUCUGAGACAGGUGCUGCAUGGCUGUCGUCAGCUCGUGUUGUGAAAUGUUGGGUUAAGUCCCGNAACGAGCGCAACCCUUAUCCUUUGUUGCCAGCGGUUCGGCCGGGAACUCAAAGGAGACUGCCGGUGAUAAACCGGAGGAAGGUGGGAUGACGUCAAGUCAUCAUGGCCCUUACGGCCAGGGCUACACACGUGCUACAAUGGCGCAUACAAAGAGAAGCGACCUCGCGAGAGCAAGCGGACCUCAUAAAGUGCGUCGUAGUCCGGAUUGGAGUCUGCAACUCGACUCCAUGAAGUCGGAAUCGCUAGUAAUCGUAGAUCAGAAUGCUACGGUGAAUACGUUCCCGGGCCUUGUACACACCGCCCGUCACACCAUGGGAGUGGGUUGCAAAAGAAGUAGGUAGCUUAACCUUCGGGAGGGCGCUUACCACUUUGUGAUUCAUGACUGGGGUGAAGUCGUAACAAGGUAAGCGUAGUGCU